rnacentral:rRNA from 1 species
CGGUAGCACAGAGAGCUUGCUCUCGGGUGACGAGUGGCGGACGGGUGAGUAAUGUCUGGGAAACUGCCUGAUGGAGGGGGAUAACUACUGGAAACGGUAGCUAAUACCGCAUAAUGUCGCAAGACCAAAGAGGGGGACCUUCGGGCCUCUUGCCAUCAGAUGUGCCCAGAUGGGAUUAGCUAGUAGGUGGGGUAACGGCUCACCUAGGCGACGAUCCCUAGCUGGUCUGAGAGGAUGACCAGCCACACUGGAACUGAGACACGGUCCAGACUCCUACGGGAGGCAGCAGUGGGGAAUAUUGCACAAUGGGCGCAAGCCUGAUGCAGCCAUGCCGCGUGUAUGAAGAAGGCCUUCGGGUUGUAAAGUACUUUCAGCGGGGAGGAAGGUGUUGUGGUUAAUAACCACAGCAAUUGACGUUACCCGCAGAAGAAGCACCGGCUAACUCCGUGCCAGCAGCCGCGGUAAUACGGAGGGUGCAAGCGUUAAUCGGAAUUACUGGGCGUAAAGCGCACGCAGGCGGUCUGUCAAGUCGGAUGUGAAAUCCCCGGGCUCAACCUGGGAACUGCAUUCGAAACUGGCAGGCUGGAGUCUUGUAGAGGGGGGUAGAAUUCCAGGUGUAGCGGUGAAAUGCGUAGAGAUCUGGAGGAAUACCGGUGGCGAAGGCGGCCCCCUGGACAAAGACUGACGCUCAGGUGCGAAAGCGUGGGGAGCAAACAGGAUUAGAUACCCUGGUAGUCCACGCCGUAAACGAUGUCGAUUUGGAGGUUGUGCCCUUGAGGCGUGGCUUCCGGAGCUAACGCGUUAAAUCGACCGCCUGGGGAGUACGGCCGCAAGGUUAAAACUCAAAUGAAUUGACGGGGGCCCGCACAAGCGGUGGAGCAUGUGGUUUAAUUCGAUGCAACGCGAAGAACCUUACCUGGUCUUGACAUCCACAGAACUUUCCAGAGAUGGAUUGGUGCCUUCGGGAACUGUGAGACAGGUGCUGCAUGGCUGUCGUCAGCUCGUGUUGUGAAAUGUUGGGUUAAGUCCCGCAACGAGCGCAACCCUUAUCCUUUGUUGCCAGCGGUUAGGCCGGGAACUC